rnacentral:pre_miRNA from 13 species
GCUAAAAGGAACGAUCGUUGUGAUAUGCGUUAGAUUCACCGUUAUAUAUCACAGUGAUUUUCCUUUAUAGCGC